UGGGGAAUAUUGCACAAUGGGCGCAAGCCUGAUGCAGCCAUGCCGCGUGUGUGAAGAAGGCCUUCGGGUUGUAAAGCACUUUCAGCGAGGAGGAAGGUGGUGAGCUUAAUACGCUCAUCAAUUGACGUUACUCGCAGAAGAAGCACCGGCUAACUCCGUGCCAGCAGCCGCGGUAAUACGGAGGGUGCAAGCGUUAAUCGGAAUUACUGGGCGUAAAGCGCACGCAGGCGGUUUGUUAAGUCAGAUGUGAAAUCCCCGGGCUCAACCUGGGAACUGCAUUUGAAACUGGCAAGCUAGAGUCUCGUAGAGGGGGGUAGAAUUCCAGGUGUAGCGGUGAAAUGCGUAGAGAUCUGGAGGAAUACCGGUGGCGAAGGCGGCCCCCCUGGACGAAGACUGACGCUCAGGUGCGAAAGCGUGGGGCAGCAAACAGGAUUAGAUACCCUGGUAGUCCAGCGCUGUAAACGAUGUCGAUUUGGAGGUUGUGCCCCUUGAGGCGUGGCUUCCGGAGCUAACGCGUUAAAUCGACCGCCUGGGGAGUACGGCCGCAAGGUUAAAACUUAAAGGAAUUGAC
rnacentral:rRNA from 1 species